rnacentral:piRNA from 1 species
UGCCAAGGAAGUUUUACUGUCUUAGCCU